AUCCCUGGCCACCCCCUUGGUUCGGCCCAUGUAUACGGUAUCCUACUGCAUUAAUGCUCUUGUGAUGAGUCUCUGUCGGCACAGUGAGGAGAGACAUCAGUGGAGUGAAGCUGAGGAGACCAGGAACAUAUAAAGUGAUCUUGAUCAAUGAAAGCAAGAUCUGGGAGCAGGCCUUGAAUUACUGCAGAGAGCACCACCAUGACCUGCGGUCUACAUUUCUAACCCUGAUGAGCAGAUAUGUGUCCAAGACAGAGCCAAGAAGGCCAACAGUAACUACGUCUGGAUGGGACUGCGCUACACCUGCGCUCUGGAAAUGUGGUUCUGGGUCAAUGACGCCCACUUUGCUAUGACAACUGGACCUCAAAAGGAAAGACUGAGAACUGUGACAUGUCCGUAGCCGUGGACAGAGGAUGGUACAAGUGGUUCAGUAGGCCUGAAAAUGAGAGGUUUAAUUUUAUCAGUGCUAUAUAGUAAGUAAAAAA